rnacentral:rRNA from 1 species
CAUCUAAGUACCCCGAGGAAAAGAAAUCAACCGAGAUUCCCCCAGUAGCGGCGAGCGAACGGGGAGGAGCCCAGAGCCUGAAUCAGUGUGUGUGUUAGUGGAAGCGUCUGGAAAGGCGCGCGAUACAGGGUGACAGCCCCGUACACAAAAAUGCACAUAUUGUGAGCUCGAUGAGUAGGGCGGGACACGUGGUAUCCUGUCUGAAUAUGGGGGGACCAUCCUCCAAGGCUAAAUACUCCUGACUGACCGAUAGUGAACCAGUACCGUGAGGGAAAGGCGAAAAGAACCCCGGCGAGGGGAGUGAAAAAGAACCUGAAACCGUGUACGUACAAGCAGUGGGAGCCUCUUAAUGGGGUGACUGCGUACCUUUUGUAUAAUGGGUCAGCGACUUAUAUUCUGUAGCAAGGUUAACCGAAUAGGGGAGCCGAAGGGAAACCGAGUCUUAACUGGGCGUUAAGUUGCAGGGUAUAGACCCGAAACCCGGUGAUCUAGCCAUGGGCAGGUUGAAGGUUGGGUAACACUAACUGGAGGACCGAACCGACUAAUGUUGAAAAAUUAGCGGAUGACUUGUGGCUGGGGGUGAAAGGCCAAUCAAACCGGGAGAUAGCUGGUUCUCCCCGAAAGCUAUUUAGGUAGCGCCUCGUGAAUUCAUCUCCGGGGGUAGAGCACUGUUUCGGCAAGGGGGUCAUCCCGACUUACCAACCCGAUGCAAACUGCGAAUACCGGAGAAUGUUAUCACGGGAGACACACGGCGGGUGCUAACGUCCGUCGUGAAGAGGGAAACAACCCAGACCGCCAGCUAAGGUCCCAAAGUCAUGGUUAAGUGGGAAACGAUGUGGGAAGGCCCAGACAGCCAGGAUGUUGGCUUAGAAGCAGCCAUCAUUUAAAGAAAGCGUAAUAGCUCACUGGUCGAGUCGGCCUGCGCGGAAGAUGUAACGGGGCUAAACCAUG